UGUAGGAGCGAGCCUGCUCGCGAUGGUGUGUCAGUCGACACGUAGUGUCUGAUACUCCAUCGCGAGCAGGCUCGCUCCUACA
rnacentral:antisense_RNA from 1 species